GCCUACGGCCAUACGACCCUGAAAGCGCCCGAUCUCGUCUGAUCUCGGAAGCUAAGCAGGGACGGGCCUGGUUAGUACUUGGACGGGAGACCGCCUGGGAAUACCAGGUUUUGUAGGCU
rnacentral:rRNA from 1 species